CAAGUCGAGCGGAAACGGCAGUAUUGAAGCUUCGGUGGAUUUACUGGACGUCGAGCGGCGGACGGGUGAGUAAUGGCUGGGAACCUGCCCUGACGAGGGGGAUAACCGUUGGAAACGACGGCUAAUACCGCAUAAUGUCUUGAUUCGUUAGAGUCAGGACCAAAGGUGGCCUCUACAUGUAAGCUAUCGCGUUGGGAUGGGCCCAGUUAGGAUUAGCUGGUUGGUAAGGUAAUGGCUUACCAAGGCGACGAUCCUUAGCUGGUUUGAGAGGAUGAUCAGCCACACUGGGACUGAGACACGGCCCAGACUCCUACGGGAGGCAGCAGUGGGGAAUAUUGCACAAUGGGGGAGACCCUGAUGCAGCCAUGCCGCGUGUGUGAAGAAGGCCUUCGGGUUGUAAAGCACUUUCAGCAGUGAGGAAGGUCGUGUACUUAAUACGUGCACGGCUUGACGUUAACUGCAGAAGAAGCACCGGCUAACUCCGUGCCAGCAGCCGCGGUAAUACGGAGGGUGCGAGCGUUAAUCGGAAUUACUGGGCGUAAAGCGCAUGCAGGCGGUUUGUUAAGUCAGAUGUGAAAGCCCGGGGCUCAACCUCGGAACCGCAUUUGAAACUGGCAGGCUAGAGUCUUGUAGAGGGGGGUAGAAUUUCAGGUGUAGCGGUGAAAUGCGUAGAGAUCUGAAGGAAUACCAGUGGCGAAGGCGGCCCCCUGGACAAAGACUGACGCUCA
rnacentral:rRNA from 1 species